UUUCAAAGGCUCAGAGAGACCUGGUGUUGACUCUGGAAGCCUUCUGCCAUGUUCCUCCACAGCCCUGUCACCACGCCACCAUGCAGUGCAGACUACCCAUUGAAUUAUUAUUCAAGGGAAAUCGAUUCCCGUAAACAAAACAACCAUCAUGUCUUCCUUUGUGCUAAACCCACUGCUCCAGGCUUGAAAGGCAGCAAAAACAAGUAAAUGACUCAGUGCUUAGCCAAGCACAAAGAAAGGUGGCUCAAGGUCAGAGGCAGCGUCUGAGACCAUUUCAGCAAUGCUGCUGCGGCAGCUCUGCCCACUAAUCACCUGGUGCCCAGAGACAGCAUGUGCUCAUCGCCCUUGACUUUGCUGAGAGCAGGGAGGAAGCAGAGCAGUGCUUAGAAACAACUGAGGCAGAGUAGAGUGCUGGCCAAUUUAGUGAGUGAAUUGGUGAAUAAAUUAUAUUUAUUGAGUGCUCAUGUUGUGCCAGGCAUGGUGCCAGGUGCCGGGGAGCUAGUGAUGAACAAAACGUCGUCCCUGCCCUCCGGGAGUUUGUGGUCUGGUGUGUGUGUAUACAGACGUUAAAUGACGAAUCCCACAAACGUACGUGGGAGCUGGUUGUGCUGAACACUAUCAAAUCCAGUCUCAGGGACAGUUAUCUGGGAGAGGUGGAGGAGGGGAUGACCAAAGUCAAUUCCGAAUUCUGAAGGUUGGCAGCAUAAAAAGUGUAAUGAGCAAAGCAGCAGAUACUUCUCAGAUAUCAUCCUUGACAUCCGUGUAACAUUUGACAAGGUUGGCCUCUCUGGUCUUUUUUGUUUGUUUGUUUGAGACAGAGUCUCCCUCUGUCACCCAGGCUAGAGGGUGGUGAUAUAAAUAUGGCUCACUGCAGCCUCGACACCUGGGUUCAAGUGAUCCUCCCACCUCAGCUUCCCAAGUAGCUAGGACCACAGGCACGUGCCAUUGCUCCCAAGUGGCAGCUCCUGCCAGACUACCCCGGACUCCCGAGCCCAUCGUCCUGUACUCUUCUCCAGUGGGACGUCUGGCCCUCACUGUGGCUAGCUUCUGGGCAAGUCCCUCUGCUCAAGAUCACUUUAUGGGGCAGCUGGUGCCCCCUGGGGCUCCCACACUCUGCACAUACAAUUUAGGGACCUGGCAGGGUCUUGGUGGCCUGCAGCUUCCCUUUCUGGAACCGACUCGCCUCCCAUCAGAGAGCCAUAACUCUUCUUCAAUACAGUAUUGUUUGAACUUUGAAAUAUAUGCAUUUGUCUAUGUAUUUUCUUAAAAAUUAACACUGUAUCUCAAUAAGCAUACAAUGGAUUGUUCAAUGGUACAGUUUGGAACCAAUCCCCCGCCACUUCCCUCCCCAAGUAAAGCCAGGACAGAUGCUGGAGUCAGCAUGGGAGCUGUGGAAACCUUUUGCCCUGGAGCCAGGUGCCUGUGGCUGUGCCUGGGAGUGGCUUCAGCCCAGGCGUGGUGUCAGUUUCCUGGCACCCCUGCCCAGGAGCCUGCAUGAAGGCAGCCGGGUCUCUCUCUGAGUGGCUGGUGCACCGGCUCAUUUCUGAGUGGCCUCCUGCGUAUGAAGAAAAAGCGGCCACGUGGCAUGCCUCCCUUCCCUCCCUUGCUUUCCUCUCAAAGAGCCAAGUCACGCUGCACUGCGCUCCGUGGAGCCUUUCCCGAUGGAGAAGAGAAGGGAGGCCUGAGAUGUCCUUUGCUGGGAUGUGGAGAAACACCAUCUAUAUGAAAAGCCCCUUGCUUGCUCUGCUGAUUUUCUCCCUCCCCUGGCCCUGGAGAGAAAGGCUGUGCCAUUCAAAGACAGUUUGGGGACAUGGGGGCUGCAGGCCUGAUCUUAUUUUUAUGCAAAUUUUGUUCUGGGAGCAGUGGUUUAUACAAACUCCUGUAGCAUAAUUCCAGCUUGUGUGUGGCUGUCCUUGAGUAGUGAUUCUGAAGUGAUGACUGUGAUGCUAUGCCUAAAAACAUCAUCAGGGUACUUUGUAUCUGUCACUGUGUUUGAACGGCCCUCAAUUUCUAUCUAAUAAAACCAGUCAAAUGGUUCACCU
rnacentral:lncRNA from 1 species